AUACGUAGGGAGCGAGCGUUGUCCGGAAUUACUGGGUGUAAAGGGAGCGUAGGCGGGAGUGCAAGUCAGAUGUGAAAUACAUGGGGUCAACCCAUGGGCUGCAUUUGAAACUGCAUUUCUUGAGUGAAGUAGAGGUAAGCGGAAUUCCUGGGGUAGCGGUGAAAUGCGUAGAUAUCAGGAGGAACACCGGUGGCGAAGGCGGCUUACUGGGCUUUUACUGACGCUGAGGCUCGAAAGCGUGGGGAGCAAACAGGAUUAGAUACCCUGGUAGUCCACGCUGUAAACGAUGAUUACUAGGUGUGGGGGGACUGACCCCUUCCGUGCCGCAGUUAACACAAUAAGUAAUCCACCUGGGGAGUACGGCCGCAAGGUUGAAACUCAAAUGAAUCGGCGGGG
rnacentral:rRNA from 1 species